rnacentral:rRNA from 1 species
AGUGAACGCUGGCGGUAGGCCUAACACAUGCAAGUCGAACGGCAGCACAGUAAGAGCUUGCUCUUACGGGUGGCGAGUGGCGGACGGGGGAGGAAUACAUCGGAAUCUACUUUGUCGUGGGGGAUAACGUAGGGAAACUUACGCUAAUACAGCAUACGACCUACGGGUGAAAGCAGGGGAUCUUCGGACCUUGCGCGAGUGAAUGAGCCGAUGUCGGAUUAGCUAGUUGGCGGGGUAAAGGCCCACCAAGGCGACGAUCCGUAGCUGGUCUGAGAGGAUGAUCAGCCACACUGGAACUGAGACACGGUCCCGACUCCUACGGGAGGCAGCAGUGGGGAAUAUUGGACAAUGCGCGCAAGCCUGAUCCAGCCAUACCGCGUGGGUGCAGAAGGCCUUCGGGUUGUAAAGCCCUUUUGUUGGGAAAGAAAAGCAGCAGGUUAAUACCCCGCUGUUCUGACGGUACCCAAAGAAUAAGCACCGGCUAACUUCGUG